ensembl:snRNA
UAGCACUUAGAAACCAGAUUAGCACUCCCCUUGAUAAGGAUGGAAGAGGUCCUAGUGACCUUUACAACACGCGUAUGGUUAAGGCAUUGCCACUUACUUUGUGGCAUCUUAACCAGGACCCUGC